GAUGAACGCUGGCUACAGGCUUAACACAUGCAAGUCGUGGGGAAACGGCAUUAUGUGCUUGCACAUUCUGGACGUCGACCGGCGCACGGGUGAGUAUCGCGUAUCCAACCUGCCCCUUACUUGGGGAUACCCCGUCGAAAGACGGCCUAAUACCCGAUGUGUUUCAUUGACGGCAUCCGAUAUGAAACAAAGGUUUUCCGGUAAGGGAUGGGGAUGCGUCUGAUUAGCUUGUUGGCGGGGCAACGGCCCACCAAGGCGACGAUCAGUAGGGGUUCUGAGAGGAAGGUCCCCCACAUUGGAACUGAGACACGGUCCAAACUCCUACGGGAGGCAGCAGUGAGGAAUAUUGGUCAAUGGACGCAAGUCUGAACCAGCCAAGUAGCGUGCAGGAUGACGGCCCUAUGGGUUGUAAACUGCUUUUAUGUGGGAAUAAGGUGGCGCACGUGUGCGCCAUUGCAUGUACCUCAUGAAUAAGGACCGGCUAAUUCCGUGCCAGCAGCCGCGGUAAUACGGAAGGUCCGGGCGUUAUCCGGAUUUAUUGGGUUUAAAGGGAGUGUAGGCGGUCUGUUAAGCGUGUUGUGAAAUUUAGGUGCUCAACAUUUAACUUGCAGCGCGAACUGUCAGACUUGAGUACACGCAGCGCGGCGGAAUUCAUGGUGUAGCGGUGAAAUGCUUAGAUAUCAUGAGGAACUCCGAUCGCGAAGGCAGCCUGCGGGAGUGUUACUGACGCUUAAGCUCGAAGGUGCGGGUAUCGAACAGG
rnacentral:rRNA from 1 species